rnacentral:rRNA from 1 species
UACAGAGGGUGCAAGCGUUAAUCGGAGUAACUGGGCGUAAAGGGCGCGUAGGCGGGAUAAUAAGUUUCAAGUAAAAACCCUGAGCUUAACUGAGGGAUGAAUUGGGAUACUAUUAUUCUAGAGAGACUUAGAGGGUAGUGGAAUUCUCGGUGUAGCGGUGAAAUGCGUAGAUAUCGGGAAGAACAUCGGUGGCGAAGGCGGCUACCUGGAAGUUUACUGACGCUGAGGCGCGAAAGCAUGGGUAGCGAACAGG